rnacentral:rRNA from 1 species
UACGGAGGGGGGCUAGCGUUGUCCGAAGUUACUGGGCGUAAAGCGCGCGUAGGCGGGUUGGUAAGUCCGCUGUGAAAGCCCGGAGCUUAACUCCGGAGGGUCGGUGGAUACUGCCAGUCUUGAAGGUGCUAGGGGGAGAUGGAAUUACCGGUGUAGCGGUGAAAUGCGUAGAUAUCGGUAGGAACACCAGUGGCGAAGGCGGUCUCCUGGGGCAUUCUUGACGCUGAGGCGCGAAAGCUGGGGGGAGCAAACGGG